AUGAGUUUUGAGAAAAAAAAAGUAGGAUCGAAUUUAAAUUUUUAUUAUAGAAGGGAAGGAGAAUGAGAAUAACGUACGUUUCUAGAAAUAUUAAACUAUCCUUAAUGAUCUUACAGCUCGUCUUGCAAGAGACCGCCUAAUUAUAACAUUAUAAUUAGGCAGGCCCAAGUCCAAACAAUAUGAGUAAUCAGGCCAUAUUGCAAUUUUUUUUUUAAAAAAACAAAACAGCUUGCAUUUCUCUUUCCUCUCUCUCCUCUAUCUUCACUCUUCAUUCUCUUCAAUGGUGGAAUCUUCCCGCCAAGGGAAAUUCUCCAUAGCAGCUCCAUCAUCACCUUCUCCGAUUACGAUUAUCCGAUUACAAUGAUGUCGAAUUUCAACGAGAGAAGCUCCGAAAUUUGACGACUGCACUGAUUCGUCCACCAUUGACGUUUCUCUACAACUUCAAAACCUUCCAUUAGAAGAUUCUCUCUCCAAGUUCUACUCCAAUGUUCUACCUCACACAAUUAACGCUUGUUAUGGCGAUUUUCCGAUCACUUCCUGCCCUAGCCAUGGCGAGUUUCAAAUUUCAGAGAAUGCUUUGCUCGAAUUCCAUAGGGUUGUAAAUAUAAAAGAACGGGUAGUUUCUGGUACUAUAUACUAUAUUACUCUUGAGGCAACUGAUGGUGAAAAGAAGAAGGUUUACGAAGCGAAAGUGUGGGUUAAGCCAUGGAUGAACUUCAAGGAAGUGCAGGAUUUCAAGUAUGUGGGGUGAUGUCAACGCUCCGGCAGAGGGCUGCAACAUCUAGCUAGGCACAAAAACAACAAUCUCAAAUUCCCAUCAAGUAAGCAGAUGAAGCUAAUCAAGCAUUUUGCAAGAGAUCGAAAAGACACCAAGGCGUACCCAACACAGCCACUGUAGUUCUGCAAAAUCAUCUCCCACGAAGCAAAACUCUCAUGUGAAGGAAUCCGAACCAACAACUAGAUCCUCUCCAAGAAAGUAGUUUGAACAAAAACAUUUUGGUUACUAACAAUGAUGAUUAAUUAGUUUUGAACAAAAGUAGAACUUUGUGUAAUUAGUAAAAGUACAAACAAAACAAUUACCAAUUGUUAUUUUGCAAAAUUAUGAUAAGUGAUACACAACUUUAGGUUCUAAUCACAAGUUAUGUUGAUCAAUAAGUUUUAUGUUCUUAAGUGACUGUUAUAUGUCAAUUAGAGGCCAUGA